AAAAUGGAGGACUGGUGUCUUCCUCUGGCCGGGCUUUUGUGCUCGUCUUCUUCAGAAGAUGAAGUCAUAGAAGCCGUCAUUAAAAUGGGAGAUGAUUUCGCCUCCAGAGGAUGGAUCUAUGCAGCACAUAUCUGCUACGUGGCGGCGCAAAUGGAGCUUGGAUCACGCCCACAGUUUAGACUGAUUGGAUCUGACAGAUGGCCAGGUGAUAGAUCAGCCAUGAGGGAGGUGAUGGA